rnacentral:misc_RNA from 1 species
UAAAAUUUUGAAAAAAAUACAAACAUGUUGAUGCUUAUAUUCAAAAAAUUGAAAUCUAAUCUUAAUUAAUAAAAACUUAAUGGAAAAUAAUUGUAAAUAAAGAAGAAAAGAGAACCAAAUAAAAUCCAUAAUUAGGUAGGAUAAAUUUUAUUAGAAGAUUGAAGACUAAUCCUAAUUAAUGAAAACCUAAUGAACAAAAAUCCUAAAUAAAGAAGGAAAAGA